GUUGCAGAGAGAAAGGGAGGAGAGUGGGAGAGAGGGAGGGAGGGGGAUCGAGACCUUUUUCCUACCCAUCAUUUCUUCAUCCGAAAUUUGAUUCUGAUAAUCAGUCCAUCUCAACUUAACCAUCGCGCCUGCUGCUAACCUAAGCCGAGUGCCAACCAACCUUCCCGACGCUCCAAUGUCAGCUCUCAAGCUGACCAUGGCAGCUUCCAUUGGCGGUAAACCGUACAAUUGGGUGCGCACGAUAACCUUCGCUACCCCUACCGCCGUCACUGCCACCGCCACUAAUAGUAGUAGUCUUACCAUAAAAGCCUCACCAACCUUAAAUAGCAAAGCCGAGUCAAUCUCCGUGGUGGGGUGGAGAAUGCCCCCGUGCGCACCCCCUGCGCACGAUAAGGGCUCUGGUAAAAGCUACCUAGGGUUUCGUGGCCACAAGUCUUUCGCUUUCUCGACAACUCCUUAUUCUUCGUCCGAGGACAAAGGGGGAGGCUCUUCUGGUCUCGUGGCCGACAUGGGUUCCGAGAACAACAAUGCCGCCGCCUGGUACACCAGCGACCGCAAACAACCGCCGCCGUCUCCGCCCCAGCAUCAGCAGCCUUCCAAAGUCCUCACCUUGCCCACGAUCUUGACGCUCGGCCGUGUCGCGGCCGUCCCUCUUCUUGUUUGCACUUUUUACAUAGAUAGUUGGCGGGGCACGACUGCUACCACAAGUAUAUUUAUCGCUGCAGCAAUUACUGAUUGGCUUGAUGGAUACAUUGCCCGAAAGAUGAGGUUAGGGACUGCAUUUGGUGCAUUUUUAGAUCCAGUGGCGGAUAAGCUUAUGGUUGCUGCCACAUUGGUAUUGUUGUGCACCAAACCUAUGGAAGUUGCAAUUUUUGGACAAGCACCUUGGUUAUUUACAGUGCCUUCAAUUGCCAUCAUUGGUAGGGAGAUUACUAUGUCUGCAGUUAGAGAAUGGGCUGCUUCUCAGAAUGGUAAACUUUCAGAGGCUGUUGCUGUAAAUAAUUUGGGGAAGUGGAAAACAGCCACACAGAUGACUGCGCUAACCAUCCUAUUGGCUACUCGUGAUAGCAGUCUUGCAGGGCCAGGGUUUCUAGUGGCUACUGGUGUUGUUUUGCUCUAUAUCUCAGCUGGGCUCGCUGUGUUGUCAUUAGUUGUUUAUAUGAAGAAGAUAUGGAAAGUAUUGCUUAAGUAGCAGGCUAGCCAUCAGCAGAAGUGUUUGGAUUUAAGCAUUCUUAAUGCUGAGGGUUUAUAUUGUUAAUCCCCAUUUUGGAAAUUGAUCCCACCCCACAUGCAGGGUCUCAAGGUAAGUGAAUGAAGAGGAGGUUCUCUCAUUAAAUUCAGUUGAUUUUUACUCUGUAUUUUUGGAGGUAGUUUCUGCAACGAUUGUUUUGGGAUUGUCCCAAUUUCUUCAAAAUCUCAAAUCUCUCAGAUUUGUUUCACUGAAGAAAUGACAUAGAUGAUGAAACUCACUGGUAUAUUUCGGGGAUGAUAGGGAGACUCUGCAUCUGUGGCACAGAGUUGGACCCCGACUGAGGAUGCUGUAGGAUAGGGCCUGCAAUCAAACAGAACCGGAUAUUUCUGAUCAUCACGAGCACACAUGACAGCAGACAGCAACAGAGAGGAUGAGAUGGGGUGUUAACUUAGGCGAACCAUGUAGAACAGUUGCUUGGCCAGAAUCGGAGAGACCUGCAAGUUCCAUUGAUGUUCAAAUUUAGAUCUACAAUAUUGAUUUGAUCAGGGUUAUGUGGCCCGAAGGCGGGAUCUACCCUGGCUGGCCAACCAGGAAUAAACCACUAUACUCCAUCAGUCUGGUCAACUCUCCUCAACCCAUAACUGAUGGGAAGUCUGUCUACUCGUGGGCUCUAUAUGAUCGACUGUUAUACCACGUAUUAUCUGAAUAGGUGGUUGCACUUUAUAUGCUGUAUAUACCUACGGUACCGUGCUCUGUAAUCUGUAAUGGUCUAACAGGGUCUGAUACUCUAUAAUACAUCUCUAUAUACAACUAUCUGUUUUACCAUGAUUCUAUAAUAAUUGUAUAAACCAUGAUGCUGUGAUA